AAUGACGUCAUGCUUUGUAUAAAUAUCACCCAAUCGCUUCGUCAUAUCCUCUUGGAAUUAGUGCCAUCUUGAGAAGACACAGCUCUACGAUAUGAGGGCGAAGUGGCGAAAAAAGCGUAUGCGCAGGCUGAAGCGUAAAAGGCGAAAGAUGAGGCAGAGGUCAAAGUAGACUGCACCCCCCCCCCCCCCCCCCCCCCCCCCCCCCUCCCCCGGCUCCAGCUGUGACCUACCCUCACGACUCCUGCCGAGCUCACCUGGAGAGCCCGAAACGCGGACCCCACGCAGCCAUGCCAGCCGUUAAUCCGGAAACUCCACCGUCGCCCGGGGGCCACCCACCUGAGCCGACUGGCGCCCGAGAGGCUGCAGAGCUGGGAGAGGUCGUUUUUACGGGAUGCUCUGGACUCUGGCUACACACCCUGCAGCAGUUGCUUUGUGUA